rnacentral:misc_RNA from 1 species
GGAUGAAGAACGUAGCGAAAUGCGAUAAGUAAUGUGAAUUGCAGAAUUCAGUGAAUCAUCGAAUCUUUGAACGCAUCUUGCGCUCCUUGGUAUUCUGAGGAGCAUGCCUGUUUGAGUGUCAUUAAAUUCUCAACUACACUGACUUUGAAUUGGUGUGGCUUGGAUUUGGGGGGAAAAUUGUUGUGGGCUUUUUGUAUAGUCUGCUCCCCUGAAAUUGAUUAGCGGUACCUUUGUGGAACUGUCUACAGGUGUGAUAAUUAUCUACAUCUUAGACAUCUGCUGGAAUGCUGCUUUCUAAACCUUACUUGUAUUGACAAUCUUGACCUCAAAUCAGGUAGGACUACCCGCUGAACUUAAGCAUAUCAAUAAGCGGAGGA